AUUCUUCUCUCACGGCCUCACCAUCACCAUCAACCAUAAUUAUUCAAACCCUAAAUCUUAUAAUUCCUACAUACAAUUGAUGAAUUAAGAUGAAGAGGAGCUAGGGUUCUUGAAUAUUGAGAGAGAUUGAAGAGAAAAGCUGGAAUUAGAGAAAGCCAAGGGAAAGAAUAGGAGCAAAGAUUUGGAAGAGAAGAUCGAAGCAAGAAUAAUAAAAUGAAUGUUGAUACUUUUUUAGGGCUAGCAAGUCGGAUGUGGGCCACAACGUGGAUGCUGACCUAAUUAUGGAAAUAGGAUGUUGUUAACAUGUGCAUAUAGGAUACAUGUUAAGGUUUAUCAUACAACCAAGAGGUUUUUGGCUGUGAGAACAUCAAACUUAAUCCCAUCAGGUGCAGGGGUAAUAGAAUAUAAUGGUGUACUUAGUAGAGAUGAUAAAUUAGAAAAUUCUAUUGAAAAUGAAUGUUAGCACACAAUCAAUGCGUUACAUGGAAGAGAGUGACGGUUGGGUGGUGUACCAUUGCCUAACAAAAAAAAAUCAAAAAAAGGGCUCAAAACCUCUUUGUACGAUUCAUGCAACUGCUUUCCAUGU